rnacentral:rRNA from 1 species
UACGAAAGGAGCAGGUGUUAUUCAGAUUCACUGGGCGUAAAGCGCGCGUAGGUGGUUUGUUAAGUUGGAUGUGAAAUCCCCGGGCUCAACCUGGGAACUGCAUCCAAAACUGGCAAGCUAGAGUAUGGUAGAGGGUGGUGGAAUUUCCUGUGUAGCGGUGAAAUGCGUAGAUAUAGGAAGGAACACCAGUGGCGAAGGCGACCACCUGGACUGAUACUGACACUGAGGUGCGAAAGCGUGGGGAGCAAACAGG